rnacentral:rRNA from 1 species
CGUGUAGGCGGUUGGUUAAGUCGGAUGUGAAAGCCUGGGGCUCAGCCCCAGAAGUGCAUCCGAAACUAUCCAGCUAGAGCGCGAUAGGGGAGGGUGGAAUUCCUGGUGUAGCGGUGAAAUGCGUAGAUAUCAGGAGGAACACCGGCGGCGAAGGCGGCCCUCUGGAUCGUUGCUGACGCUGAGACGCGAAAGCGUGGGGAGCAAACAGGAUUAGAUACCCUGGUAGUCCACGCCUUAAACGAUGGGUACUAGGUGUUCGGGGUGUUGACCCCCUGAGUGCCGCAGUUAACGCAUUAAGUACCCCGCCUGGGGACUACGGCCGCAAGGUUAAA